rnacentral:tRNA from 1 species
GCGGAAGUGGUGAAAUGGUAUACACGCAUGUUUCAGGAGCAUGUGGCCGCAAGGCUGUAGGGGUUCAAGUCCCCUCUUCCGCA